GAUGAAACGCUGGCGGCGUGCUUAACACAUGCAAGUCGAACGGGAAUUACUUUAUUGAAACUUCGGUCGAUUUAAUUUAAUUCUAGUGGCGGACGGGUGAGUAACGCGUGGGUAAACCUGCCUUAUACAGGGGGAUAACAGUCAGAAAUGACUGCUAAUACCGCAUAAGCGCACGGAACCGCAUGGUUUUGUGUGAAAAACUCCGGCGGUGUGAGAUGGACCCGCGUUGGAUUAGCCAGUUGGCAGGUAACGGCUACCAAGCGACGAUCCAUAGCCGGCCUGAGAGGUGAACGGCC
rnacentral:rRNA from 1 species